rnacentral:rRNA from 2 species
CUUGGAGGAAUGUAUAGCAACUGCUAGUUGCACUAAAAGCUUUAGUGUGAAAUCAACUUAGUUGAAUAAAAUUCUGGGUAGUAUUAUGAUAAUGACAUUAUCUGUCCAUAAGUCUUGACCAAAUUACGUGCCAGCAGUCGCGGUAAUACGUAGAAGACAAGUGUUAUUCAUCUUUAAUAGGUUUAAAGGGUACUUAGACGGUAAAUCAAGCCUUAAAAAGGGACUAAUCUGCUAGAGUUUUAUGUGAAAAAGUAUUAAAGUACUGCUGGUGUAGAGAUGAAAUUCUGUCAUACCUUGAAUGGCACAGGUUAAGGCGAAAGCAUCUUUUUAUGUAAAAACUGACGUUGAAGGACGAAGGCUUUGUGUCUCGAACAGGAUUAGAUACCCUAGUAGUCUAAGCAGACAAUGAUGAAUGUCAUAGAUUAGAUGUAAUUUGAUCUAUAAAUGAAAGUGUAAGCAUUCCACCUCAAGAGUAAUUUGGCAACAUUGGAACUGAAAUCAUUAGACCGUUUCUGAAACCAGUAGUGAAGUAUGUUGUUUAAUUUGAUAAUCCGCAAAAAACCUUACCACAAUUUGAAUAGAUAUAUUUUAUCAUACAAGCGUUGCACGGCUGUCUUCAGUUAAUGUCGUGAGACUUUGGUUAGUUCCAUAAAAUUAACGUAAACCCUUACUUUAUUUACUAAUAAAGUAGUUCACCGCUAUAUUGGAUAUGAUAACAGGGAUCAAGACAAGUCAUCAUGACC